AUGCGACAAUGUGUAAUAUACUUAACAACAUCAGAAAUGCACCACACUGAAAUGCACCGACAAUGCUCAGAUAUCAUGGGUACAUUUCAGUCUGACGGGGAUAUUUUGUAUUAUAUGGGUGGUGGGUUUCUAAUGUUGUUUAGUAUAUAUGUGAAAAAUAUUUAUGAAGAAAGAACAUCUGAAAUGAUGUUAGUUCUUGUCCUUAUCAAAAUGGAAAAAAAAUCAGUCUAUUUGCUCAAGUUGCAUUGACAACAUCUGUUCUAUUCAAGAUUAAUAGAUUUUAAGCAUGGAGUUCUGGGGACCUAUUCUACCCUG